rnacentral:lncRNA from 13 species
AUGUUUCUUAACAAGCAUAUCUAUCAAAGAAUCACAGUACAGUGUCAGGGAUCUCAAGAUCACAGUCCAGUUACUGGGUCUCUCCUCAAACCUAUAAGCUGCUACAAUCUCAGUUAUAAAAACCCGGAAAACUGCAACGGGCCUGACAAGGCCCAGAAUCUCAUACCUCACUUGACGACAGCUUACUUUAAACUUUCCCAUAUUGCAUUCUUCAACUGGUUUCAAAUGUACAAUGUAAACUCUGGCAAGUGUGUGAGAAAUGUUUGUAUUACGUGGUCUUUUUUUAAUCUGACUGUUAUUUGGUAUUUUAAAGACUGCCUAGCCUAGCUACUAGUGAAGGUGUGCUCUCACACCCUCCUCUGCUCCUCUUUGUUUUUAAAGCGAGCGUACAGAGACGGGUCACAAAAAUUUGUAAAGUCAUGAAGAUCUCUCAGCUUUGCAAAUUUGUGUUCGCUGACUGGUAGAUUAGACGGUGUGUUUUAUCUUUUUAAUAAAUCCUACUUCUGGUGCACUGAAAUGUUUGCUUGAUUCAGAUUGUCAUGUGUGUUUAGUGACAAAGACUGGGUGUUCUCUCCAGGUUAUUCUGUUGUAGACCUCGGUGCGGCUUUGGCACCAGGCGCUUUUCCAUGUAUGCAUUCCUCAAUGGCACCCUAUUCCCUUUUAUAAUGCACUACAUUUGACCAGAGCCCUGGUCAAAAGUAGAGCACUAUAUAGUUAGUGCCAUUUGGGAUGCAUGAUGCUCAUGUGGAACUCCGGUAAUUACAUAUAUCCAUUCACAGCUGCAACUAUUUUGACUAUGUACCAACAUCAUCCAUGUUAUGUAAUUCAUUCAAGUUAAUGAGAUGGGAUCAUUCUUUUUAAUAUACAAUGUCUAUAUUUCUAUUGCGCACUAUGACAAUUUGUAUCCAGAAAGGGUCAAUAAAUACAAGAAUUUAUACUUUUUUUUUGGUCAUGCCUUGUCCUGCAUCCUCUUAAGUCUUUUGAGAAUAACUUAAGCCAGACUAAUGUAUACUCUAGACCUAUUACACAGUUUAUAAUUAGCUUAUCCCCGCUCUUUCAGUUUCUCCAAUUGUUACUGAUAUCAAAUGAUUACAAAGACAGGAUAGGAACUCCUUUCCAUUUUAUUUUUGCUUUACAUCCAGACCAUCUAUAAAAAGUCCAUAUUCUCACUAAGAUGCAUACAAGUUUACUUCAUGGACAGACAAUUAGUGCUUCAAUUGAAAAGCAACAAAUAUAAAUCAGUCUUGAACAAGUGUGCAAAAUCUUGAUAAGUGAUGUCAAAAUUACAUGUAGAAUUUGUAUUUAUCAGUAGUCUAUCCUGUAUUUUCUUUUCAGAACACACUCCGCAUUUUAAAUCGAAUGCAUUAUGUUUAAUGUGCAUGGGAAUUAACUCCGACUUUAUAAAUAGUGGAGCGUAAUACGUAGCUGUUAGCAUUCAGGAAAAAGUCAAUUAUUCAAGUCAAAAGUCUAAAUUCCACAUUCAAAUGAAUGGAAAUACAUUAUAUAUAUUUCAGUUUAAAUUAUUGAGUGGACUCCUACAUACAUAUACAUGCGCUGAUAAGAUGAUUGAUUUCAAAUGGGAGCCUUCAUCUCUCAUCCUGAAUGACAUUCACAAAUGCAAGGAGGAAAGGUGGGUAACCUAGACUAGAGCACAUUAUACAAGGAUGAAUCACUGUUCACUCAUUUCUUUAACGACACAUGAGGUUUCCUGCAUACAGUCAGGCCUAUGACGUUCUUCUGCUAGAAGAACAAUAAUCCUGUUGCCCUGUCUUCCAGACAGGACAUUUUUAGGGCAGUAGUCACAGCUAAAUAAUGGAGAGGAGUGGGUGGGGUAGGGGAGGCUGGUUCACUAUCUACAUUCAUUGGCCAUUGUGUGACAUCCCAGAUACAGCCAGAGGGUUCUCUCUCUCUGCACAUCCUAUUUCUGAAUGUGAUGUUUGAAACAACUCAAGUGAAACAAAAGAGAGAGAACAGGAAACAAUCUUGCUCUCUUUUCACCACCGUUUUAUCAUCACACAUCUGGAUGAUGACGAGAAGGAGGUAUUACUUUGGUUGAUUUGAUAAUGGUAUUCACAGUGCAACAAACAAGGAAAAUUGCAGGACUCAAAUUGACUGCACAUCUGUGUAACUUAUGACAUUGAAUAGUGAGGGACAUAGUAACCUAAUUUUACACCACCAAAACUAGUAAUACAACUGGAAGUAUCCCACCCAAGGUCAAGGCUUUGCUAAUCUCACUGGUAUAGUACUACUUAAAACAGUAACAAUGGACAUUAAGGCAAAUGUUUCAGUAACACCCACAUAAUCAUACACACAAACACAGUUAAAAAAAAUGAAUAAAUAGUCUCAAAUAAAUAAUGUCCACUAGUAGUUAGCCAACGUGUCGUGGUUUAGGGUAUGGCUUUCGUGAAAACGGGCAUGGCUUCAGAGGUUCACAUAAUAACCAACCUCCCCUUAGCUUAGAGGCUGAUGCUGUACAAAGUAAAUGCUCCAACAGAGAUGGUGAUGACUGAUGGAUGAUAAUGACAAAGAUGAUGAUGCAAAGGUAUGACAGGCUGUUCCCAUUUAUCAUGCUUUUCCUAAAAAACCCUUUGUGUUUAAUGAUUGACAAAUCUGGCAUCUCAAGGGUUAACUCCACUGAUCUGUAGGAUGGCACAGAUCGAUGUCCUGCUCCAACACACUCAUGCAUGGGCAUCUUUCAUCAACAGGGGACGUUGCUGCUGGUAGGACCGUGCCCAACCCUUCACCACCUGAAGACACAUACAAAAUUUUAGAUCAACUCAUCUUCCUCAUUGCUGUUGUAUUUGAAGUCAACGCCUUGUGCAAAUAUCUUGAGUGACUCACAAAGUGUGCCUAAAGCUGAAUUGACUUACACCCAUGUUGGAAACAACAGAUCAAGCUCCAACAGAUCCAGCUCAGAGUUUUUCCCCCACGUGGACGACACAGAGUUUAUACCGCACGCAAAUGUAAAGUGAUAGCAUGUCAGGUGACAAAAUUGUCUGGAAGAAUCAGAUAGAAAGGCAUCCAACACGCAGUCAGACUGCUCCGUACUCUAAUUCACAUAUAAGCGAGGGUACUUAGUUGUACCGCCUCUCUGCAAAACAAACCUACCUUUACAUCUGACCAAGUUCUCAAAUAAAUGUCUACAUUUGUUAAUAUCAUCAUUCAUAAAAUCUUCCUAAAACGCAGCAAAGAUUAUUCUACAGCUCUACUUUCUUGACUGAUCUUUAUUUUAUU